UACGGAGGGGGCUAGCGUUGUUCGGAUUCAUUGGGCGUAAAGGGCGCGUAGGCUGCGGGGCAAGUCGGGUGUGAAAUCUCAGAGCUCAACUCUGAAACUGCACUCGAUACUGCUUUGCUUGAGGACUGGAGAGGAGAUUGGAAUUCACGGUGUAGCAGUGAAAUGCGUAGAUAUCGUGAGGAAGACCAGUGGCGAAGGCGGGUCUCUGGACAGUUCCUGACGCUGAGGCGCGAAGGCCAGGGGAGCAAACGGG
rnacentral:rRNA from 1 species